rnacentral:rRNA from 1 species
AGCAGCCGCGGUAAUACAGAGGGUGCGAGCGUUAAUCGGAUUUACUGGGCGUAAAGCGUGCGUAGGCUGCUUCUUAAGUCGGAUGUGAAAUCCCUGAGCUUAACUUAGGAAUUGCAUUCGAUACUGGGAAGCUAGAGUAUGGGAGAGGAUGGUAGAAUUCCAGGUGUAGCGGUGAAAUGCGUAGAGAUCUGGAGGAAUACCGAUGGCGAAGGCAGCCAUCUGGCCUAAUACUGACGCUGAGGUACGAAAGCAUGGGGAGCAAACAGGAUUAGAUACCCGCGUAGUCCCUGUCUCUUAUACA